rnacentral:rRNA from 1 species
UACGAAGGGGGCUAGCGUUGCUCGGAAUCACUGGGCGUAAAGCGCACGUAGGCGGCUUACUAAGUCAGGGGUGAAAUCCUGGAGCUCAACUCCAGAACUGCCUUUGAUACUGGUGAGCUUGAGUCCGGGAGAGGUGAGUGGAACUGCGAGUGUAGAGGUGAAAUUCGUAGAUAUUCGCAAGAACACCAGUGGCGAAGGCGGCUCACUGGCCCGGUACUGACGCUGAGGCGCGAAAGCUAGGGAGCAAACGGG